rnacentral:tRNA from 1 species
CCUGCAGCAGGUCGGACCGCGCCGGCUCGGCCCCGGCCUCCGCCAGCCGUUCGAGCCGGUCCAGCAGGAC